rnacentral:rRNA from 1 species
GCACAAGCGGUGGAGCAUGUGGUUCAAUUCGACGCAACGCGCAGAACCUUACCAGCCCUUGACAUCCCGGUCGCGGGAACGAGAGAUCGAUCCCUUCAGUUCGGCUGGACCGGAGACAGGUGCUGCAUGGCUGUCGUCAGCUCGUGUCGUGAGAUGUUGGGUUAAGUCCCGCAACGAGCGCAACCCUCGCCCUUAGUUGCCAUCAUUUAGUUGGGCACUCUAAGGGGACUGCCGGUGAUAAGCCGCGAGGAAGGUGGGGAUGACGUCAAGUCCUCAUGGCCCUUACGGGCUGGGCUACACACGUGCUACAAUGGCGGUGACAAUGGGACGCUAAGGGGCAACCCUUCGCAAAUCUCAAAAAGCCGUCUCAGUUCGGAUUGGGCUCUGCAACUCGAGCCCAUGAAGUUGGAAUCGCUAGUAAUCGUGGAUCAGCAUGCCACGGUGAAUACGUUCCCGGGC